GCAAUCCUGCUAACUCGGGCGCAUUGAAUCUUGGCCCAACAGAUUUACUCCAUUAUUAAGUAUGAGCUGAUCUAUGUGAAGCAAACAAGUAGAAGAAGCCAACAGAAGAGGGGUCCAUGUGUAUGGACAGAGCUGGAGUGAUCCAUGCUUCAACGGCAGUCCCUUCAACCUUGCCUGAAUGUGGAGGCUGCACAGAUCACAAGCUCCGCAGACUGCAAGACCGCUUUGCUCCAAAGAAGCUGACCACUGUUUGGUUCCCCAGCAUAUCAAAGCUAACCUGAAUAGUUUAAGUUGUGUUUCAGUUGAUGAAUAGAACUUCACGGAACCACACAACAACAGUGGAGGUGACCUGCUGUUUUACAUUCUCUAUUAUACCCUGCUAAGGAAGUUAUUUUGCAGUGACAAAGCUUCUUUUCUAGUGUCCUGACAAAUCCUAGGAUUUUGAUGUUGGGAAUUCUUCCCUCCCAUCAAAUAUUGGUUCUAAAUCCACAGAACUAUUUGAGAAACCAGAUAGAAAAUUAUGCUAUCCCAUGAUAUAUGAAGAGCAACAUUUAUAUCGCGUUGUGGGUGUGGAAAUCAAGAGAUGCUACUGAUGGUUUGGAAAGAUGAAAGAGAUCAACAUCAAAAAGAUGUCAGUAAUUUAAAAUAUAAUAUUAAACUUUAUUCUUAAAAUGAGAGAGAUACACACAAGGAAGAGACAACUGCCCUGGACACUAGCAUGUGCAAUUGUGAUGACUAGAUAUGCUGCAGCCAUCUUGCAACCAGAGAGGAGCCAGCUGGAAAACAAAGCUAACACAAUGAGAUCACACAGCAGAAAAUGAAAAGAACCUGAAUCCUUGAUAAUCCGAAUGAGCUGAUGGAUUAAACCUGGAGUAUACCUACUAUGGGUUUCCUGUCAUCUCAA